rnacentral:rRNA from 1 species
UAGGGAAUAUUGCGCAAUGGGGGAAACCCUGACGCAGCGACGCCGCGUGAGCGAUGAAGGCCUUAGGGUCGUAAAGCUCUGUCGUAUGGGAAUAAUUAAUGAAUGUACCAUGCAAGAAAGGACCGGCUAACUUCGUGCCAGCAGCCGCGGUAAGACGAGGGGUCCUAGCGUUGUUCGGAAUCAUUGGGCGUAAAGGGGGUGUAGGUGGCUUUAUAAGUCAGGCGUGAAAUUCCUAGGCUUAACUUAGGGAGUGCGUUUGAUACUGUAAAGCUUGAGUGCAGGAGAGGAUAGUGGAAUUCCUGGUGUAGUGGUGAAAUACGUAGAUAUCAGGAGGAACAUCGGUGGCGAAGGCGGCUAUCUGGCCUGACACUGACACUCAGACCCGAAAGCGUGGGGAUCAAACAGG